AUUGAACGCUGGCGGCAGGCCUAACACAUGCAAGUCGAACGAGUGGCGGACGGGUGAGUAAUGUCUGGGAAACUGCCGGAUGGAGGGGGAUAACUACUGGAAACGGUAGCUAAUACCGCAUACCAUCGGAUGUGCCCAGAUUGGAUUAGCUUGUUGGUGGGGUAAAGGCUCACCAAGGCGACGAUCCCUAGCUGGUCUGAGAGGAUGACCAGCCACACUGGAACUGAUACACGGUCCAGACUCCUACGUGAGGCAGCAGUGGGGAAUAUUGCACAAUGGGCGCAAGCCGGAUGCAGCCAUGCCGCGUGUAUGAAGAAGGCCGUCGGGUUGUAAAGUACUUUCAGCGGGGAGGCGUUACCCGCAGAAGAAGCACCGGCUAACUCCGUGCCAGCAGCCGCGGUAAUAC
rnacentral:rRNA from 1 species